rnacentral:tRNA from 1 species
AAUAGAAUAAGUUAAAGAAACUAUCGGGCUCAUGACUCGAAAAUAAAGGUGAAACUCCUUUUUCUAUAU